rnacentral:rRNA from 1 species
GGGUUGUGAGGUUAAGCGACUAAGCGUACACGGUGGAUGCCCUGGCAGUCAGAGGCGAUGAAGGACGUGCUAAUCUGCGAAAAGCGUCGGUAAGGUGAUAUGAACCGUUAUAACCGGCGAUGUCCGAAUGGGGAAACCCAGUGCAAUUCGUUGCACUAUCGUUAACUGAAUACAUAGGUUAACGAGGCGAACCGGGGGAACUGAAACAUCUAAGUACCCCGAGGAAAAGAAAUCAACCGAGAUUCCCCCAGUAGCGGCGAGCGAACGGGGAGCAGCCCAGAGUCUGAAUCAGCUUGUGUGUUAGUGGAACGGUCUGGAAAGUCCGACGGUACAGGGUGAUAGUCCCGUACACCAAAAUGCACAGGCUGUGAACUCGAAGAGUAGGGCGGGACACGUGGUAUCCUGUCUGAAUAUGGGGGGACCAUCCUCCAAGGCUAAAUACUCCUGACUGACCGAUAGUGAACCAGUACCGUGAGGGAAAGGCGAAAAGAACCCCGGCGAGGGGAGUGAAAAAGAACCUGAAACCGUGUACGUACAAGCAGUGGGAGCACCUUCGGGUGUGACUGCGUACCUUUUGUAUAAUGGGUCAGCGACUUAUAUUCUGUAGCAAGGUUAACCGUAUAGGGGAGCCGCAGGGAAACCGAGUCUUAACUGGGCGUUAAGUUGCAGGGUAUAGACCCGAAACCCGGUGAUCUAGCCAUGGGCAGGUUGAAGGUUGGGUAACACUAACUGGAGGACCGAACCGACUAAUGUUGAAAAAUUAGCGGAUGACUUGUGGCUGGGGGUGAAAGGCCAAUCAAACCGGGAGAUAGCUGGUUCUCCCCGAAAGCUAUUUAGGUAGCGCCUCGUGAACUCAUCUUCGGGGGUAGAGCACUGUUUCGGCUAGGGGGUCAUCCCGACUUACCAACCCGAUGCAAACUACGAAUACCGAAGAAUGUUAUCACGGGAGACACACGGCGGGUGCUAACGUCCGUCGUGAAGAGGGAAACAACCCAGACCGCCAGCUAAGGUCCCAAAGUCAUGGUUAAGUGGGAAACGAUGUGGGAAGGCACAGACAGCCAGGAUGUUGGCUUAGAAGCAGCCAUCAUUUAAAGAAAGCGUAAUAGCUCACUGGUCGAGUCGGCCUGCGCGGAAGAUGUAACGGGGCUAAACCAUGCACCGAAGCUGCGGCAGCGACACUAUGUGUUGUUGGGUAGGGGAGCGUUCUGUAAGCCUGCGAAGGUGACCUGUGAGGGUUGCUGGAGGUAUCAGAAGUGCGAAUGCUGACAUAAGUAACGAUAAAGCGGGUGAAAAGCCCGCUCGCCGGAAGACCAAGGGUUCCUGUCCAACGUUAAUCGGGGCAGGGUGAGUCGACCCCUAAGGCGAGGCCGAAAGGCGUAGUCGAUGGGAAACAGGUUAAUAUUCCUGUACUUGGUGUUACUGCGAAGGGGGGACGGAGAAGGCUAUGUUAGCCGGGCGACGGUUGUCCCGGUUUAAGCAUGUAGGCUGGUUAUCCAGGCAAAUCCGGAUAAUCAAGGCUGAGGUGUGAUGACGAGGCACUACGGUGCUGAAGUAACAAAUGCCCUGCUUCCAGGAAAAGCCUCUAAGCAUCAGGUAACAUUAAAUCGUACCCCAAACCGACACAGGUGGUCAGGUAGAGAAUACCAAGGCGCUUGAGAGAACUCGGGUGAAGGAACUAGGCAAAAUGGUGCCGUAACUUCGGGAGAAGGCACGCUGGUGUGUAGGUGAAGUCCCUGCGGAUGGAGCUGAGACCAGUCGAAGAUACCAGCUGGCUGCAACUGUUUAUUAAAAACACAGCACUGUGCAAACACGAAAGUGGACGUAUACGGUGUGACGCCUGCCCGGUGCCGGAAGGUUAAUUGAUGGGGUUAUCCGUAAGGAGAAGCUCUUGAUCGAAGCCCCGGUAAACGGCGGCCGUAACUAUAACGGUCCUAAGGUAGCGAAAUUCCUUGUCGGGUAAGUUCCGACCUGCACGAAUGGCGUAAUGAUGGCCAGGCUGUCUCCACCCGAGACUCAGUGAAAUUGAACUCGCUGUGAAGAUGCAGUGUACCCGCGGCAAGACGGAAAGACCCCGUGAACCUUUACUAUAGCUUGACACUGAACAUUGAGCCUUGAUGUGUAGGAUAGGUGGGAGGCUUUGAAGCGUGGACGCCAGUCUGCGUGGAGCCAACCUUGAAAUACCACCCUUUAAUGUUUGAUGUUCUAACGUUGGCCCCUGACCGGGGUUGCGGACAGUGUCUGGUGGGUAGUUUGACUGGGGCGGUCUCCUCCCAAAGCGUAACGGAGGAGCACGAAGGUUAGCUAAUCCUGGUCGGACAUCAGGAGGUUAGUGCAAUGGCAUAAGCUAGCUUGACUGCGAGCGUGACGGCGCGAGCAGGUGCGAAAGCAGGUCAUAGUGAUCCGGUGGUUCUGAAUGGAAGGGCCAUCGCUCAACGGAUAAAAGGUACUCCGGGGAUAACAGGCUGAUACCGCCCAAGAGUUCAUAUCGACGGCGGUGUUUGGCACCUCGAUGUCGGCUCAUCACAUCCUGGGGCUGAAGUAGGUCCCAAGGGUAUGGCUGUUCGCCAUUUAAAGUGGUACGCGAGCUGGGUUUAGAACGUCGUGAGACAGUUCGGUCCCUAUCUGCCGUGGGCGCUGGAGAAUUGAGGGGGGCUGCUCCUAGUACGAGAGGACCGGAGUGGACGCAUCACUGGUGUUCGGGUUGUCAUGCCAAUGGCACUGCCCGGUAGCUAAAUGCGGAAGAGAUAAGUGCUGAAAGCAUCUAAGCACGAAACUUGCCCCGAGAUGAGUUCUCCCUGAGACUUUAAGUCUCCUGAAGGAACGUUAAAGACGAUGACGUUGAUAGGCCGGGUGUGUAAGCGCAGCGAUGCGUUGAGCUAACCGGUACUAAUGAACCGUGAGGCUUAACCUUACAACGCCGAAG